rnacentral:rRNA from 1 species
GGAGAGUUUGAUCCUGGCUCAGGAUGAACGCUAGCGGCAGGCCUAACACAUGCAAGUCGAGGGGCAUCGGGAUUGAAGCUUGCUUCAAUUGCCGGCGACCGGCGCACGGGUGCGUAACGCGUAUGUAACCUACCUAUAACAGGGGCAUAACACUGAGAAAUUGGUACUAAUUCCCCAUAAUAUUCGGAGAGGCAUCUCUCCGGGUUGAAAACUCCGGUGGUUAUAGAUGGACAUGCGUUGUAUUAGCUAGUUGGUGAGGUAACGGCUCACCAAGGCAACGAUACAUAGGGGGACUGAGAGGUUAACCCCCCACACUGGUACUGAGACACGGACCAGACUCCUACGGGAGGCAGCAGUGAGGAAUAUUGGUCAAUGGACGCAAGUCUGAACCAGCCAUGCCGCGUGCAGGAAGACGGCUCUAUGAGUUGUAAACUGCUUUUGUACGAGGGUAAACUCACCUACGUGUAGGUGACUGAAAGUAUCGUACGAAUAAGGAUCGGCUAACUCCGUGCCAGCAGCCGCGGUAAUACGGAGGAUGCAAGCGUUAUCCGGAUUUAUUGGGUUUAAAGGGUGCGUAGGCGGUUUGAUAAGUUAGAGGUGAAAUCCCGGGGCUUAACUCCGGAACUGCCUCUAAUACUGUUAGACUAGAGAGUAGUUGCGGUAGGCGGAAUGUAUGGUGUAGCGGUGAAAUGCUUAGAGAUCAUACAGAACACCGAUUGCGAAGGCAGCUUACCAAACUAUAUCUGACGUUGAGGCACGAAAGCGUGGGGAGCAAACAGGAUUAGAUACCCUGGUAGUCCACGCAGUAAACGAUGAUAACUCGUUGUCGGCGAUACACAGUCGGUGACUAAGCGAAAGCGAUAAGUUAUCCACCUGGGGAGUACGUUCGCAAGAAUGAAACUCAAAGGAAUUGACGGGGGCCCGCACAAGCGGAGGAACAUGUGGUUUAAUUCGAUGAUACGCGAGGAACCUUACCCGGGCUUGAAAGUUACUGACGAUUCUGGAAACAGGAUUUCCCUUCGGGGCAGGAAACUAGGUGCUGCAUGGUUGUCGUCAGCUCGUGCCGUGAGGUGUCGGGUUAAGUCCCAUAACGAGCGCAACCCCUACCGUUAGUUGCCAUCAGGUCAAGCUGGGCACUCUGGCGGGACUGCCGGUGUAAGCCGAGAGGAAGGUGGGGAUGACGUCAAAUCAGCACGGCCCUUACGCGGGG